rnacentral:misc_RNA from 1 species
UUUCCGUAGGUGAACCUGCGGAAGGAUCAUUAAUGAGUUGUCAUGGGGUUCGAUGCUGGCAGCCAAUUUUUGGAUGCAUGUGCUUGCCUAACAAUCAUCUUCCAAACACCUGUGCACAUUUUUGAGGGAGUCUUGAGUUGGUUGCCGCUCUUGGGUGAUUUUCUCACAUUCCCUUAAAUCAUUAUACGCUAUUAACAAUGUUGAACGUGCUCUGUGCCGCAAGGCUAUUAAUAUAAUACAACUUUUAACAACGGAUCUCUUGGCUCUC